rnacentral:rRNA from 1 species
GUCUACGGCCAUACCACCCUGAACGCGCCCGAUCUCGUCUGAUCUCGGAAGCUAAGCAGGGUCGGGCCUGGUUAGUACUUGGAUGGGAGGAGCUCAGAAUUGUAUCAG